CACCAGUGCGUGCCUCCGACUCCCGCUGGGCUCUGCCCGCCGCCUGUGGGGCCUUUCCGGGCAACGCGCGGCCCCCAGCACGACCCGCCUGCCCGCAGGCCCCGCCGUUCUUCCAGCAGCGCGAACUCCUGCCUGCCCCCGGCUCUGGCUUUACUCACCGAUCCUUUCCAUGCUGUGGCCGCAUUCCCCAGACCCUAUCGGUUCCCAGUGCUGCAUACUUCAAGUGUAGGUGGGGUUUGGUGGCAGCCGCCCCUCCCUCCCCCAGCCAGCCGGUAGCGCUCACGGAGCUCCCCUCCGUGCCCCCAGGCUCCAGGCGUCCCCUGGCUGGCCAGCCACCACAAGUGAUUCCUGGCCGCCUUUCACCUGAACGCCACCAUCUUGACACUGCUAGUAAGAGCCCCAGAGCAAUGAACAUAUGGCAGUUGCUACCAGCACUGGUGUAUUUGCGGCGAUGCCUAUCGAUAUCCACCAGAGAGCAGGGCAGCUCCAAAACCCACAUCUUUUAUGCUGUGGAAAUUGAUGGAUACAGCAACACAGCCAGCUUCUUGGCCAAACAACAUGGAAUGCAGUUCAUUUCAAAGGAAGAGACAAUGGCAUCAUUGUCUGAAAGACAUUACUCGAUGGAAGAACAGUCUCUUAGACUCCUCCUGGGCAUGAUGGAAGUGAUGCUGGUGAGGAAGGAAAGUAUUUCCAGGAACUGAAGGAAUGAUUAUAACAUCUCUAAAGAGGACAUUUGCCUGUGGCUUUCCAAGUGCUGAACUCAGUUUCCUAAUCCUAGAUAACUAAGUAGAAAGAAAACUUUCUGCCACUGUAGGCUGUGCUGAAGACUGCACCUUUUCCUGCCAGGUAUGGCCUUUGCUACAGUAAUUCAAGGCUUGUUUAUCACUGUGUUGAAUUACUUCAGGCUCUUUUACUUGGAGCUGCUGACUAAGGAGCAUAGAAACAUCAGAUGUUAAAGCCUGAUGAAAUUUCUAAGUGACAUAAAGAAGAGCACAGACUGUGAUUUAGAUUUUUCAGCAGCAUACAGCAUCAAAAUAUCUUCAGGGACGUGGUCAUUCUCUCCAAAUCUCCUGGUGGAUGAGCACCUUUGGGAUGGAGCCCCGGUGAGCCCCCAUGGGAGGUCACAUGGGACAAAGAUCAGGAUAGUACUCUAAAGAAAGGACUGAAUCCUUUUAGCGGACGUUCUUUGACCUUUUAGGUCCCAUCCCUUUUAGGGAUGGGAUUUGCCAGAUAGUGCAAAUAAUGGGAAUGCCCCUUUCUACAUACCAUUUCCUCCAGUAGAGUGACACUUCUUCCACCUAUUACAUUCCUCUGAAAUCCACAGGCUUUUCAAAAAUAAUUACGUUUCUACUAGUACUUGUGCUUAGGUUUCAGUGUGGUAUUUGAUACAUGUUGUAUUAUGAUGUUUUCCCUGUAAAUUCUUAUGUAUGUAUGUAUUUUCACAAUACUUCACUAAAAACAUCAAAAUCAAAAUUCAAAGCAAAACAAAAACAAACAGACAAGAACAUAUGGGAAGGAUAAACCCAUUAACAUCUUUAUUUUGAGCAUUUGCUAAAAAACAUCAGCUUUGAUUUAGGUUUAUGAGGUAAAUCCACUGCAGAUUUAUUUUACAAAACUAUAAAAAAAUUCUGAGACUGUUGCUUAUGUUUUUGCAAGGAUCUCUAAUACUUUACAGACUGUAUAAGAGUGAAGUAAUGGAUUUGUAUGAGCGGAAGGUGGCUACUGCCUGUGAGAUGACUUUCUUCCUGUUUCACUGUAUAUUUAUGGUGCUAUGUAGCUAAACAAUAGAUCUAUUCUAUUGUGUAGCUAAACAAUAGUUCUGUUGUAAGUCACAACAUAUUCUUAUGGAUCUUUGCAAUUUUUUUGGUGAAAAUAUGUCUCUUUGUAAAUAGCAUGGCUACUGUAAUAAAUUGUUAGAGAAAAAAACAAAAAAGAGAAAAAGAAUUAAAUCUCAAAUUUUUUUUAUUUUUUAAUACGUAAUCUUUAACUUUUAUUUCAUGCUGGAAAGAAUGAGGGUUAUUAAAAUCAUGUUAUGAUUAAGGGCAUUUAUUUCUCUUAUGGUAAGUAAAAUCUAGCAACAACAGGCUUAAGAAUUCAGGAGCUGUCUAUUAUCAAACUUUUGACCAUCAGGAUUUCUCCCUUUGUCUCUUCUCCUACCAGUAUAACAUAGCCUGAUGGUUCUGGUCACUGCAGCCAGUGUACAUCUGCUCACGGUGACCAUGAUGAAACUCCUAAGACUUUUUUGUCUCUGUUAUUGCCUCCAGGCCUGAAAUGAGGUGGGGCUGCAGGCAACCGGGGUAAUGUCAUUAGAAUCUCAUCAAAACCGGUUGUUUAUGAACCCUUUGAUAAAGCAGAAGAAAUUCUCUCUGCUGCUUGCACUGACAACUAAAAAAAAAAAAAAAAAACAAAAAAGGGCGAGGGAAAAGGUUUGGAUAUCAAAAUACUUCUUGCAGAAACAGCAUGCAUCAGCUGCAGUUUGUUUUGUUGUCACAUACACGUUCUGGUGUAGGGGUAGGCAGGGUAGGCAGGGAUUUUGCAGAUGACAUUUCUAUAUCGAUUUUAUAUAAUAAUGCUUGGUUCAGGCUGCAAAAUUCACCAUGUGAACUACUUAAGUUCUGGCUCUUUGGCAGCAGAGAAUUUUGAGGCUAAAAUAAACUUCAGUUCCUUUACCCCUGAUAGCUGAUUUUGCACCAAAUCCCAGAGCUAGGAGUUCAGCAAGUUUGUGCUUACACAUAGAUAUAUAUUUACUUAUGAAAUCUAUUUUUUUCUCCAAAACCCCUGCUUAUAUCCAUAGAAAACUAUCUACAGAUUUUUUUAAACAUCACUGGCUUAUCCAGCUUUUGUUUUUCUUCUGUGCUUAAGAGCAGGUCACACUUGGGACUGAUGUGUGAGGCCAAAGUGCUUUUAUUUUUCUGUAGCCAGCAUAAUUUCCCACCAUUUCUGGAUUUCACUUUCCUCUUUAUAGUCCAUCUCAUCUUCAUACCAGUUUGUUGGGGAUUCUCUACUGGUAAUGCUGUCUUGUACAUAUGUUCUUUUCCCUUCACCUCCUUCCCCUCCUUCAUUCCUUUCGCUUCCUAUAUAAGUUCAUACACUUUUACCAGUCUCUUUUCCAGACAUUUGUUUGUUCUUUCUUCCAUUCACACUACAACCAGGAAAAUAAUGUUCUCCGCACCUAGGGAAACAGAUCUUCACUAAUGGUGGUGGAGUUUCACCAAGUAUAUUCACAUGCUGGAAAUAACAACAUGGUUAAGUGUCACCAAGCAUUUUUCUAGGGAGAUGAUCUUUAAAUUAAGAGGCUUUCAUUAAUGUUCUUUGUAAUGUAAAAUGAUUUAUCUUCAAAUUAAUCAGUAUCUGAAUAUGAAUUAGACAAAAUACUUGUCAGUAUUUGGAUGGAUUAUGAAGCCUCACCUUAUACAUCUUAAUUGUUAGAAUUUUCUUUGGAUUUGUAUGAACUGUCACUCUUUGUAAUUUGUGUGUAUCUACUUCUGUAUUAAAUUCUUGGCUGCUUCAACUUAUUUUAUCAUCCUUUAUGGUGCUAUGUUAAUGGUAAGCAUAACACCACCAGUUGCAUAUAAUUGAAUGAACGCUCCCCAUCAUAUGAUCCUUAUUUAAACCUCAUUUUAGCAUAUUUUUGGAAGCUUUAAAAAUGCAGACCACAUUCCAAAUUCUGAUUAAAAGUAAACAACAGAUUAUCAGUGUAUUUUGGUCUCUUUUUUUAAAUUAUUUUUCUACUGGAAAGAAAAAGACAUAACAUCCGCACUGGGAUGUAGAUGCUUGGAAGAAGUGAUGGUCUGUAAGCACUAACAGAAAAUAAAUAGUACAGAAAUAUUAUUUCUUAUAAACUAACAGAGCCUGGCAUUUUUAUAAACCACAAUCUUGACUGCAGGUCUUGAAUAGUAGUGAAAUAUUGAUUGUAAGACUACCAAUAUAAAAAAAUAUUUGAAAUAAUAAUUUGUGAGGCUUGUAUUGCCCCAUUCCACCUAGCAGCCAAUGGGAAGUCAAAGGACGUUUUAAGAAAAGUUUAAUAAAAUCCAUUGCAUUUGAAAAGACUUAGAGCUACAUUUCUGCUAUAAGAGGCUGCUUCAGGUUCUUCCCAUAUGGAUAUAGAUUAGGUUUGUUUUCAGAAUUGCUGAAGCCAGAAACAGUCUGUGAGUUUGAGUGAACUUUCUUCACCUAAUUUCAAAUCUGCUUGAACUUGGUGACACUUUGUAUACUUGAUUUAAGCUUCUUUGAGUUUGCAUUCAAUAAAGGAGAAGAAUAUAGGUGAAGGGAGAAGAGACAGAAAAUCCAAUGCAGAAAUAUAAAGGAAAAGAAGUUUGAUGUACGUGCCACAUGUGAAUUACUUGUUUCUCUUUUAGUAUUUUCUGUGUGUUGCAGCACUUUUUCCCCUUGGGGGGAAAAAAUUGAAAAAAAUCAAGCUGUUGGUUUUGGGUUUAAUAUAAUCAUGUACAAAGUGUUUUUACUUCAUUAUUUGCAGCCUUAGCAGACAAAUGGAUGUCAUGAUUUAUUUGUGUCCAGCUUUGCAAUGUAUUCUUCCAAAAGGAAAUCAUGGUAUGCCAGAAAACACGUGAAACGGUAGUGAUCUAUGUUGCUCUCCUUGUAUUGUCUGCCGGAAAGUCUGUCCAUCCCUGAUUUUAAUCACGUCCACUUAGUGGUCAAGCUAAUUCACCCUGCUGGACAGAUAAUCUAGUUCGGUGUCCAGUGCUGUUACUAGAGACUGGCGGUCAAAUCUUUUAUCUGUUUUCUCCAAACUCAGUUGGACACUGCUUGUUGCUGGGAGUCUUUGGAAGAAGGUGAUAAAUCUUAUUGCUAAUAUCCCAGGAGGUAGUAACAUAUCUUCCUACAGGCAUAUCUUCAGGAUUUUUCUAGGCUCUGUGAAUGUAAAUAAAAACAUUUGAAAAUCCUGUGGGUUUGUUUCUUUUAUUUGUAUAUCUGUGAUACAAGUACCUCCACUUACUCAAAGUGAAUUGUAAAUUGUCAACACGGAGUCUUCCAAGACUUUGUCUUCAUUUUCAUAUCUGUAAACAGGAACAUGGUCAAAUUGCAUUGUCAAUAGUAUGACUGACUGCUUGUACAGAUAGUCUUUUGAAGCAUAACCAGUUCACUUUGCUUGUUAUAGUCUGGAUAUGUGCCAUAACCCCCU
rnacentral:lncRNA from 1 species